ACUCUAAAUAGGUCUUGGAAUAAGGGGUGGGUAAGGACGGUGCCAGCCGCCGCGGUAAUACCGGCGCCUCAAGUGGUAGUCGCUUUUAUUGGGCCUAAAACGUCCGUAGCCGGUCUGAUACAUUCGUGGGUAAAUCAACCAGCUCAACUGGUUGAAUUCUGCGAGGACGGUCAGACUUGGGACCGGGAGAGGUGUGGGGUACGCUCAGGGUAGGGGUAAAAUCCUGUCAUCCUGAGCGGACCACCUGUUGCGAAGGCGCCACACUAGAACGGAUCCGACGGUCAGGGACGAAGCCUAGGGGCACGAACCGGAUUAGAUACCCGGGUAGUCCUAGGUGUAAACGCUGUGGACUUGAUGUUGGGGGUGCUCCGAGCACUCUCAGUGUCGA
rnacentral:rRNA from 1 species